UGGUAACAUUCAUUUUAUAAAAUACCUUACAAGAACAGAUAAAGUACUUGAUAACAUAAUAACCAGAAUUGGAAAAAGAACGUUGAAUAAAAUAUAAAUUAAUUGAACACAUAACUAUAUUUGCCACAUGUUAGACAAAAUUUUAAAAGUAUUUUUUUUUUUUUUUUUUUUUUUUUGCUGAUAAAAUAGUUAUUUGGAAGAAAACCCUUCAAAUAUGCACUCAAUUUCUGUCUUUUUUUCUGGAAACUUUUCCUAGAACCUUUAAAUUCCAGGUUAACAGGUAGUACCUGAAACUAUUUAAAAUGUACUGUAGUUUGCUUCCAAAUCUGUCAAGCUUAAGACACAAAAAAUUUAAAAUAUAACCAAGUCAGAUACUAAGUGCAAAGUAAAGCUUCAAGUUGAAAAUCUGAGAGGAAAAAAAAUUCCAAACAUCUACAGGAAAUGCUUCUGGUGCAUAAAAAAAUUCACAUUAUGAAGAAAUCUUUGCCAAGUGUUCUUGGAAUGUGAAAUACUGACAGUUAUAAAAAGUGGGCCCUUGGGAGUUACGAUCAGAGCUCUAAUGACCAUUUGCCAACGUGUGAAGGUUCAGGAAUAGGAAAGAAGAAUAAGAGCCAUUUCUUUGGAAGGGAGUUGGGCUGAAGCUAUGCAUGGUUAGCUUUUAGAGUUAACUCUGGUUAACUUUUAGAAAGUCUCGCUAGGAUAUCAAUCUUAUUUUCCUAGCAGUACAAUAAUAGAUAUUAAAAAACCAAAUUAACAGCAGAAGCCAGAGAUGAGUGAACUGGAAAGUCAAUGGGGAAAGUUUGUCCACAAAAAACCUCACAGGAAUUUAAAUUUCAUCUUUACCUUCCUAUCAUACAGAAUACUGAUCAAAAUAAACAAUUCUGUAGAUAUUUUUGAUACAUACAGAAAAAAAAAAUAUAUGUAUGUGUGUGUGUGUGUAUGUGUGUGUGUGUGUGUGUGUGUGUAUACAUACACACACACACAUACUUUUUAGGUUACAAAUACAUAAAAUCUAGACCACUUCUAACUAUAGAAGCACAAAUUUUUGUUAAGUAGAGGGAGUUUUUAGUAUUUUAGAUAUUUUCAAAAUAAUCUUUCUGAUGUCCCCUAUAAAAGAGAGCAACAAUUCUUUCAAAAAAAUCUCAUAUUUAAUAUAAUGUUUGAUGUAUCUCUUUUCUUUGCUGCAAAAGAAUUUCUGAUAGGUUCAUUUGAGAUGAUAAAAUGAUGUAAACUGUUGAACACAAAAGUAGAUAUUUUGAUCAGUUGGAAAGUUUUCUGUGCAUGAAAGUUUUCACUUUUAAAAUAGUGCUCAUUGAUUUGAAGAUCUUAGAUCAAAUUUAUUAAAUGUUCAGCUAUCUUUGCUGACAGAUAGGUGAAGGCUCACUUUAAGUUCUGAGAACCUGUGGAAGUUGCAAUGCAUUAUUUUUUCACCAAUUUUAUGAAGGUAGGAGGAACAGAUUGCUAUUCUAAUAAAGAAGCCACUUGUUUCUUAAUAGCACACAUAUACAAUCAGAAAUUUCUUUAACAUGGCUAAUGUAGGAUAUGGUGUUUCCUUUAUGAAGUAUCCAAUGCACAAAACUGAAAGCUGUGCAUGCUAUCAAAAGAAAAGUAAAGAAAUUAAGUUACCGCAAUCCAGAAAAGGAAGAAUAAAAAUAUGGUCAUUUGGGCUUUGGUAUGCCUAUUCACAGAAUGAACAGUGAAUGAAAAAAGCAAAUUCCCCUUUCUGGCCAACCAUCAGCUGAGAGAUAUUUGCAGAAAUCAAGCAAUAGAAUGAAGAUCCCUAACUUGUGUCUGCUCAAGUCUCAAGUCUCUUUGAGCAUCUCCUACUGUGGGACUUAAAAAUUUAAAAUAAAUAGGUGCAGUUCUGAAAAGAAUUGAGUUUAUGAUGUUUUCCCUCUUCCCCCCAACUACCCCGGGGAAUAUUGGAAUUAGUUUUGGGAAAUGCUAAUGUGUAUUGGGCCUGCUUUUUUUGUCAACAUUUUGUAUCAGAUGUUUGGCAAAUAUUCUUCAAAUUACUGUAGACUGCAGGUGAAUUUAUCCCUGAUGUUAGGCUUCCUAAGUCAGAUAUCUUUUACAACAUGCUACUAUGCUGAUGAGGAAGGAGAGCGGCAGAAGACACAUAUUAAGGUCAAGAUUAGUUUAUAUUAGAAAAGAAUAUUCUUAGGUGGACCAGGCAAUUUAGGAUGAAGAAAGGAGCACAUUGAUUUAGCUUUAUCUUAUUUUCCAUCUUUCUGUAAGGCAAAGAAAUAUGAAAAUAACCGUGAAAUCUAAACAGAGCUAUUUUAAAAAUAUUGUCUUAAAAUUAGAGUCAGCUAGUGUCAGUUUGUGCAGUUCCUAAAAUUGUGCUGGCUAUAUGUAGCAGGUAUUUAAUACUUGCCAAUUGAUUAAAUUUUGCAAAAUGGCUUCAGAAGAACCACUUCUGUAUGAUAAGACUGAGGAAUUUUUGGAUACUUUCACUUAAUUAGAAGGGGCAAUGAAGGAGUGAGUCUACGAAUUAAAUAUGGAUUCUAAUUUGAGUGCACAAGGAGGAAAUUACUAGGAACUCUGGAAAAAUAUAUUGCCACAGUAGCAUUAGCACUUAACAGUGCAU
rnacentral:lncRNA from 1 species